AACGAGGAGGAGGGGGAAACACAAACCUGUCAGCCUCUGACUCGGCCGCAGCCCCGGGAGCCGCCGCGCGCCCUACCUGCCGGCCGCUCACCUGUACCUGCCGCGGCCGGACUCACCUGGCUGCGCCGAGGAGCCGUCGCCGGGCCGCGCCUCGCUGGGACUGCGAUGUGCCGGCCCUAGCUGCCAUCUGAGAGGAUGUCCGGGGUGUCCGAGCCCCUGAGCCGAGUGAAGGUGGGCACGCUGCGCCGCCCCGAAGGCCCCCCCGAGCCCAUGGUGGUGGUCCCGGUGGAUGUGGAGAAGGAAGACGUGCGGAUCCUCAAGGUCUGCUUCUACAACAACAGCUUCAACCCCGGGAAGAACUUCAAACUGGUCAAAUGCACGGUGCACACGGAGAUCCGGGAGAUCAUCACUUCCAUCCUGCUGAGUGGCCGCAUUGGGCCCAACAUCCAGCUGGCCGAGUGCUAUGGGCUGAGGCUGAAGCACAUGAAGUCGGACGAGAUGCACUGGCUGCACCCCCAGAUGACGGUGGGUGAGGUGCAGGACAAGUACGAGUGUCUCCACGUGGAAGCCGAGUGGAGGUACGAUCUUCAGAUCCGCUACCUGCCAGAAGACUUCAUGGAGAGCUUAAAGAAAGACAGGACCACGCUGCUUUAUUUUUACCAACAGCUCCGGAAUGACUACAUGCAGCGUUAUGCCAGCAAGGUCAGCGAGGGCAUGGCCCUGCAGCUGGGCUGUCUGGAGCUCAGGCGGUUCUUCAAGGACAUGCCCCACAAUGCACUUGACAAGAAGUCCAACUUCGAGCUCCUGGAAAAGGAAGUUGGGUUGGACUUGUUUUUCCCAAAGCAGAUGCAAGAGAACUUGAAGCCCAAGCAGUUCCGGAAGAUGAUCCAGCAGACAUUCCAGCAAUACGCCUCACUCCGGGAGGAGGAGUGCGUCAUGAAGUUCUUCAACACCCUGGCGGGCUUCGCCAACAUCGACCAGGAGACCUACCGCUGUGAACUCAUUCAAGGAUGGAACAUUACCGUGGACCUGGUCAUCGGUCCUAAAGGCAUCCGUCAGCUGACAAGUCAAGAUGCAAAGCCCACCUGCCUGGCGGAGUUCAAGCAAAUCCGGUCCAUCAGGUGUCUCCCCCUGGAGGAGGGCCAGGCGGUGCUGCAGCUGGGCAUUGAAGGCGCCCCCCAGGCUCUGUCCAUCAAGACCUCGUCUCCUGCAGAGGCCGAGAACAUGGCUGACCUCAUAGACGGUUACUGCCGGCUACAGGGGGAGUAUGGAGGGUCUCUCAUUGUCCACCCCAGAAACGAUGGUGAGAAGCGGAACAGCCUGCCUCAGAUCCCCAUGCUAAACCUGGAAGCUCGGAGAUCCCACCUCUCAGAAAGCUGCAGCAUCGAGUCAGACAUCUACUCGGAGAUUCCCGACGAGACCCUGCGAAGGUCUGGAGGGCUGCAGUAUGGUGUCGCCCGUGAAGAUGUGGUUCUGAAUCGUAUCCUCGGGGAAGGCUUUUUUGGGGAGGUCUAUGAAGGUGUCUACACGAAUCACAAAGGGGAGAAAAUCAACGUGGCCAUCAAGACCUGCAAGAAGGACUGUACUCUGGACAACAAGGAGAAGUUCAUGAGCGAGGCAGUGAUCAUGAAGAACCUCGACCACCCGCACAUUGUGAAGCUGAUCGGCAUCAUCGAGGAGGAGCCCACCUGGAUUAUCAUGGAGCUGUACCCCUACGGGGAGCUGGGCCACUACCUGGAGAGAAACAAGAGUUCCCUGAAGGUGCUCACACUUGUCCUGUACUCACUGCAGAUAUGCAAGGCCAUGGCCUACCUGGAGAGCAUCAACUGUGUGCACAGGGACAUCGCCGUCCGGAACAUCCUGGUGGCCUCCCCUGAGUGUGUGAAGCUGGGGGACUUUGGCCUUUCCCGGUACAUUGAAGAUGAGGACUAUUAUAAAGCCUCUGUGACUCGUCUUCCCAUCAAAUGGAUGUCCCCAGAGUCCAUCAACUUCCGCCGCUUUACGACGGCCAGCGACGUCUGGAUGUUUGCUGUAUGCAUGUGGGAGAUUCUGAGCUUUGGGAAGCAGCCCUUCUUCUGGCUGGAGAACAAGGACGUCAUCGGGGUGCUCGAGAAAGGGGACCGGCUGCCCAAGCCUGACCUCUGUCCCCCUGUGCUGUACACCCUCAUGACCCGCUGCUGGGACUACGACCCCAGUGACCGGCCCCGCUUCACGGAGCUCGUGUGCAGCCUCAGUGAUAUUUAUCAGAUGGAGAAGGACAUUGCCAUGGAGCAAGAGAGGAAUGCUCGCUACCGAACCCCCAAAAUCUUGGAGCCCACAGCCUUUCAGGAACCACCACCCAAGCCCAGCCGGCCCAAGUAUCGGCCCCCUCCACAAACCAACCUCCUGGCUCCCAAGCUGCAAUUCCAGGUCCCUGAGGGUCUGUGUGCCAGCUCUCCCACGCUCACCAGCCCUAUGGAGUACCCAUCUCCUGUUAACUCGCUGCACACCCCACCUCUCCACCGGCACAAUGUCUUCAAGCGCCACAGCAUGCGGGAGGAGGACUUCAUCCGCCCCAGCAGCCGAGAGGAGGCCCAGCAGCUGUGGGAGGCUGAGAAGAUCAAGAUGCGGCAGAUCCUGGACAAGCAGCAGAAGCAGAUGGUGGAGGAUUACCAGUGGCUCAGGCAGGAGGAAAAGUCCCUGGACCCCAUGGUUCACAUGAAUGACAGGUCCCCGUUGACACCGGAGAAAGAGGUUGGCUACAUGGAGUUCACGGGGCCCCCGCAGAAGCCACCUCGGCUGGGUGCACAGUCCAUCCAGCCCACAGCCAACCUAGAUCGAACCGAUGACAUGGUGUACCUCAAUGUCAUGAAGCUGGUGCGGGCUGUGCUGGACCUCAAGAAUGAGCUCUGCCAGCUGCCCCCCGAGGGCUACGUCGUGGUGGUGAAGAAUGUGGGGUUGACCCUGCGGAAUCUCAUCGGAAGUGUGGAUGACCUCCUGCCCUCCCUGCCAUCAUCUUCACGGACAGAGAUUGAAGGGACCCAGAAACUGCUCAACAAAGACCUAGCGGAGCUUAUCAACAAAAUGCGACUGGCGCAGCAGAACGCGGUGACCUCCCUGAGUGAGGAGUGCAAGCGGCAGAUGCUCACAGCCUCACACACCCUGGCCGUGGACGCCAAAAACCUGCUGGAUGCCGUGGACCAGGCCCGGGUUCUGGCCAACCUGGCCCACCCGCCUGCAGAGUGACUGAGCACAGGGGCUGCCUGCCUGCAUCUUCCACCCCCACCUCCUCGUGUACCUUCCCCACCCUGCCUGAGGUCAUGUGGGUCUUCUUGGGGGGAAGACCUGGCCACUCUGCAUGACCCCCUCUCCCCACCCCACCCUAAACUGAGCUGCUCGGGCUGCAGGUGGACCGAGAAGACCCUGGGCUGUGGACACAGGGGAUGGGGUGACAAAGAUGGCUCAGAGGAGGCACUGCUGCCACCUGGCCAGCCUUCCCCAUCACAAUAUGACUCAUGCUGGGUGCUUGGGGGGGGUCACGUGGUGCCCCCAGUAGCCAAGAUGGCUUUACACAUGGACACAGCUGGGCUAUUUGGGAACCAGGCUGCUCAUCCUCCUUCCUUUUCUGCCCUCAGAGGUCCCCUAAUGCACAGAUGGGCCCAGGAGAGGCUUUAUUUGGGGGUCAGCUGGCUGGUGAGAUGAGAGAAGAGCCUGGCAUUCUUGUACAGUGUAUAUUGGAGUUUAUUUAAUGUGAGUUUGGUCUGGACUGACAGCUGUGUGCCCUCCUGGGAGGAACCUGGAAUGCAGUCCAGGAAAGAGCUAAUAGGGAGCAGGGGCACAGUAUGCUGUGUUGUCAACAACCAAGAGUCAGAGAAAGACAUGGAGAGAUGGGAGGACUCAAGGAGACGGGAGGACUCGCGGAGAGACGGGAGGACUCGGAGAGACGGGAGGACUCAUGGAGAGAUGUGUCCAAGUCAGGGCCUUGGGCCGAAUCUGCUCUCUCCUACCCUCUCUCCUUCUCCCUUUUCUUCCUUUCCUUCUUUUCUUAUUUCUUCUCCUUUUACCUACCCCUUUUCUCGUGUGUUUGUGUAGAAUACUCUUUUACCUUCUUUCUAUUUGACCUGUGGUUGAAUUAAAAUUGUUACCAUUUGCUUUGUGGUCUGAUUGUUCUGUUUAUUUAAUCUGCCCUUUUAAGGAGAAUGGUUACUCCACUGCAGCCACACCAGCCAAGAGCCCAUCAGCACUGGGUGUUUGCCAAGGAGGGGAGUAUAGAGACACAGGAGGUACGACAGGCAGGAGGCAUGAAUCACAUGUGCGCGCAUUGCUGCACCAGGCGGGCAGGGCUGGGAGCCUGGACCAGGAAGCCCAGAGGCAAGGAGGAGGGG